AACGAACGCUGGCGGCAGGCCUAACACAUGCAAGUCGAGCGCCCUUUCGGGGGAGCGGCGGACGGGUGAGUAACGCGUGGGAAUAUGCCCUUCUCUACGGAAUAGCCUCGGGAAACUGAGAGUAAUACCGUAUACGCCCUAUGGGGGAAAGAUUUAUCGGGGAAGGAUUAGCCCGCGUUGGAUUAGGUAGUUGGUGGGGUAAUGGCCUACCAAGCCGACGAUCCAUAGCUGGUGUGAGAGGAUGAUCAGCCACACUGGGACUGAGACACGGCCCAGACUCCUACGGGAGGCAGCAGUGGGGAAUCUGAGACAAGGGGGGCAACCCUGAGCGAGCCAUGCCGCGUGAGUGAUGAAGGCCUUAGGGUUGUAAAGCUCUUUCAGCUGGGAAGAUAAUGACGGUACCAGCAGAAGAAGCCCCGGCUAACUCCGUG
rnacentral:rRNA from 1 species